GGAGGGAACAAAACUGGAGGGAAGAGAUUCCUUCUCACAGUUACAGUUGAGGUGGAAGAAGCUACUGCAUCGAUCCAAUUCCGCGCCAAUGAACAGUUCUUCGGAAUCAUCUAAAGCAAGGAAACGCCGAAGAGAGGCCGAAAUUGAAGAUGAUGGCGAUGGCAAUGGCAAUGACAAUUCUGAAAUUGACUCUCUAGAGGAUUGUCUUACAUUUAGCGAUACUUUGGUGGCGCUUCGUAUGAUGCGAGUUCAGUUUCCCAACAUCGACAAGGUGUCAAUUCAGCCAUUCAUUUUGCAAUCACAGUUGUAUAGUACUUUGAAAGACCGAACAGAAGUAGACAGGGAACUAGAGUGUCUAAAACGAGAAAAAGUAGUGCGUGUAUUCAAACUGAAUACUGGACAAGAUGAUCAUGCAAUAAUGUUUCUGGAUGACUAUCUGAAGCAGAUUGACCAUGUGAUAUCAAGAUUUGAAGAAAGGAUGCAACUUGGCACGGGAAUUUUUCAGUGGUUUAAGACGCAUGUUCUGGAUUGCAAAUUGGAACCUAGUAUUGGACAUCAGGAGCUUUGCACUCUCUUAUCUCGUGGGGGAAAGGUUAAAGAUGAAGAUAUCUCCCUCUUGAUCAACGCUGGACUCCUUAAUCGCCAACUUAUUGAUCCAAACGUGUAUUGGUUUGCAAUUCCAAGUAUUGGUUCAGUACUGAAAGGCAUUUCUCAGGGUAGAAAGGAACUCAUUUCUUUGCUAAAACGUACCAAAUAUAAAGAAAUGAUGAUGACAUCUUUGCAGAAGAAGCGUCUUCGUUUUUCUUCGCUCGAUAUGAGAUUUCACAUACGGGAUUUAAUUGGCUCGGGUUACCUCCGAACUGUGCAAUCACCAACAGGCUUACUUGUUCAGUUAUCGAAAGAUUGAAAACCAGGGAGGAUUGAAUCGUGUGCUUCUGUUUGCUGUCAUCCCCUUCAUGUUUAUUAGCUCAAAGGUUGACCUGGUGUUUGCCUGAUAGACUUGAUGUAUUUGUCUCAGCUGGUUUUUGGAACACACUUCAGGAAUAAGGAAAGAUUUCUGUGGUCUAAUAUUGUUAUGGAUUUCUCUGGAAGCUGUGGAACAGAGAAACCAGAGGGUCUUCGAAGUGUGCGUUCUCAACGAGUUAUGUGAGUGUAUUAGACUCUUCGCAUAUCCCCCGUCUGGUGUUCUCUCUCUAAAUACUUUUAUAAUUAUGAUAUUGUUCAUAUUUCGGCCAAUUGGGAUUCCUUUUUGUAACCCUUUGACUUUGUAGGGAUAUCUCGUCUCCCCUUUUGUACGAUCCUUUCAUCAA